UGCAUGGGAAUUACUUGAUCCACAGAAGGUCUGCGUGGCAAAGAUGCAUUUUUGCCUCCAAAAAUGGCGUGUUCCCAUAGCUAAUGCCACAGGAACAAAACACAACACGCACAGGUGACAUUAAGUCCACUGCUUUGGCCAUCCCAUGGGACCGUGCAAAGCAUUACAACAGGGAGACAUAGGUAUAACCUCUAACUGUGCAUUGCAGACCCUUUGAAGAUGCAACAGCUCAUAGUAGAAUUUCCCCUAUCACACAAGCUCUCUGACUGAGGAGGACAGGACUUGGCCCCACAUUCCCAAUUCACCAUCCUAUGUUAUCUUGUCAGCUGUCCUCCUGCACAUAGCUUCAUGAUUUGUCUCUCCAUUUCAUUUCUCAAGUCUGCAGAGAUCCCAAUGCUGUGCUGGAGCCUGCUGGCUAAACAUAUGGAUCUGGAGCUACUGCAAUGAACCACGGAGUAAAACAGAUGAACAGAAAAGGGAGCAAGAAAUACAGGAAGCAAUUUUGUUUUCUCUACACGCAGCCUGGAGCUGCAAGCAUCGUUAUUUUCAGGCCAGCUGACUAAAAACAGACUGAAAUUCAGGAUGGUUUGGGGGGGUGUGAGGGAAUGGUGGUGGAGACAGGAUCCAUUCCUCACUCACCACAUAAGAGCAUUAAGAGCUUCACUCUUGGUCAAACAGAAAACCUCACUCUCGUCUACUUGGCUCAAUCUCACACACACAGCCCCUGCCCUGCUCCUUGCUUAGCAAAACAUUUCAGAAGGCCCCAUUCCCCCUCCCACUCCAUGUUGAAUCAGAGCAAAGUUGAUGAACUGUGGCUGCUCGUCACCCUGCCAAAAUCUGCUAACCAACCUUAGUGUGAAAGCAGCUGUGACAGGCAGCAACUGAAAACGCAGCCUCCAACCAACCAGCUGGAAGGGACCCAGCAAAGCACUGCUGCUCUUUCUCGCUCUCAAGCAUUGGAUGAGUCAAUUUGUUUGAUGGGGUGCAGGGCCUGAUUCCCCAAAGCAGCUCAUCCCAAGCAGUCCCCAUAAAAUAAUGUAACGUAGAAGCAUUUCUUUUAGGGCUUUUACCCACCAGAACGUGGCUCAGUGACAUCUCCCUCCAGACUCGUGAUGGCGUUUUGUGCAAACAAUAGAGGCGAAAUGCCACCAUUGCUUUUACAACUUCUGCUUUGUUGUUCUUCUGAGAGAACUGCAAAACACAAAGUGUGCUUGGGAGCGUUUGGAAUGCACUGAUGGAAGCUGGCAGGGAUAGACCAAACACACACGUUAUCAACAUGGGAAACGGAACGAAAGAGGGAAGGAAGGGUAACAAGCAAAUAUUUCUUCAGGAUUGCCAAGCCUCUCCGUUUCCAUGGCAGUAUGUUUCCAUGGAAGCCACGUUUUGAAGCCUGUUGCUGCCAAUGGAGUGGCCCAAAGAAAAAAUUAUUAGUUCUGCAAAUUAAACCAAGCUGCUCUCUACCUUGAGAGCCAACCCACCCACAGCCCUGAAAGCAAAUAAGAAGGAAAAAAAAACAAGCCAGCAUCUUUCCAUCUAUGAUAAAGGAUUCGAUAAACACGAGGAAGGAAGAGAUGGGAGAAAAUACCACACCAUGAAAGAACUGCAGCCUCUUUUCAUGCAAUUCUGAAACACUCAGGCAAAGGCAAAUGUGAAUGUGCUUCAUGAGACGCUGGACGUGAAGAAGUUACAGCCUUGAAGAAGCACUCCAGAUUUUAGCUCUGCAGUUAAAAGCCCAACAUCUCAGCUUCAAGCCCUGAACAGAUGAGUUUGUAAGUAUGAAUCAGAGGGGAUGCUCUAAUACAGGUCACACGUGGAGGCAGCUGCUGGCAGCAUCCACAAGGCAGCUUUAAGCACCAUGGGACUCAGAGCCACCAGCUGAAGGGCUCUCAUAAUCAUCAGACAAAGUUUAGUGCAAGUCCUGCUUGAGAUUGAUAAAAUAAUACAGUCAAGGAGUGACAGCUAUGCUUAUUCUCAAGAGUAACCAUAGAGAAGUAAUUCCUGAUUAUUCUUUUUCCCAAAGUCACCAAAAAUCAACAGCAAAAAACCACACAGAAGAACUGUCAAACGUGUUAAAUCCAAAGCUUAAAACGUUUUAAUAAAAACAAAGCAACAUACAUUUCAUCAUCACUGGCACAACGUAGAAAACCUUUUAAAUAAGAACUUUAAUACUAGUCACAAAAUACAGAAUGUUGUAUAAAAAUAGCUGUGUGCACACUGAUAAAAGAAUGUAAAACUGCUCUGAAUAGGACAUACAAAGACAUUCAGCUUUGACUACUCAACUUCCAAGCACUUGUUGGAU